rnacentral:misc_RNA from 1 species
CCCUACGAACCUGACCUUGGGCAGCAAUACGAAUGGAAGCGAUUCAGUCCUCAAGUCGAGGUGAUGGAGCUGCAUUGUUGAGGGAGACCAGCUACCCACUGAAAGUCACCGAGGACAUCUGGUUCGGAUGCUGUUCCUGCACCUAUGUCACCAGAGAUCAGCGUGGAAUUUCGAAGGGCACUAAUACAAGAGGCGUCAUCCUCUGCUGAAGGAGGAGGAGGAAAGAAGAAAGGGAGGAGGAAAAAAUGAUGAUUAGAGAGAGAGAAGAGGAAGUGAGAAGGAAACUGGAGAUAGGUCCCUGAAAAUUUGUUGAGAAAAGAAAAAAAGGGACUUGCAGUCGGGGAGGUCCCCCGACGAUUUGUUGUGGGAAGCAGACAAAUUGGAAUGUGAUAUCUUCUUUUCACGUGCUUAGGACGUUCUAACAGGUUUAGAGACUGUUUUUGAAUGUUCGACGAAACACUGGUCACUUAUUGCUACAGAUAAUUAAUGGGGUUAAUAUUUUUAAUACCGUCAACUCAGCAGAUUGUAGCGAUUUGUAAGCGGAAUGGGAACAGCCCCUUUCAAAUAAGUUUUGGAACCAAAUUUUACCCAGGAUUGACCCAAUCCUGAAAAAGCUAUAAUUCACGUAAAAUUCAGUAACAAAACAACCCAAAUUCAAAAUGCUAAGAAAACAGCUAUACGAAAUCAAAUCUAUAACCUAGUACAUUCUUGAAAAGCUGAGAAAUGGGUCCAAUGUAAAGAGUGCACGCUUAUUCUCCUGUGCUCCUAAGAAAUUAUAGGAGCUUUUAUCAAGAACACACUGACAUUGUUUAGGAAAACUAUCGUUAGAAAACUAAUGUAAUAGCCAACAUUUCCUUUGCUAGAUACACGCCAGAAUGCCUGGAGAGUGCAACUGUGAAAACGAAAUUUCCAAAAAGUAAUUUCUUUUAUGUUUACGCCACACUUAGAAAUCAAUCUUGCCUUUUAUGGUGUUGACAGAAUCUUAAAAUUUUUUAUUAAAGACAUUCAUAAAGUUAAAAAAAUGCCACAGUUGCAUUGCCCAUUAAAUUUCAGUUAUGAAAAACGAGUAAGCCUUUCCUUUUGUCUAAAUACUAAACAAUAGUCUUCCUAAUGUGAAAUUUAUGCCAAAAAAUGGAACGAAGGAAAACACUCUCAAAGUGCUUGAAUCUCUGCCUUUUCUUUUGCAUCGAUGGACCAAAAAUAAUUUAUAAAAAGAUAACUAUGCAGUGCAAACAAAUAAAAUAUUCUGGGAAUAAUCUCUAGGUGUUGGUGGAUGUAAACAUGGAAUUUUUCAAAAUUACUUUUUUUCCAGAAAUUUCUUUUUCUGGGUAGUGUCCCCCAGUAAGUAGUAUGUGUUAACUUUUUUCUACAUUUUUUUUUUACGUCCUGUACCGUUCUAAGACCUCAUCUAGCAGUUUCCUCGGGGGGGGGACUGAUUGCCAAGUGUGUGUGCAUCGCAACGCUCCCUGCUGCCGGUUAGGACAUCGCUAGUCGAAUCUCUCACACUGCCCAGCAGGUUUUACUAUCAAUUUACAUUGUACCCAUUUUGAAUACUGUAAUGUCCCUUUGGGACUGCAUUGGUAAAAGAUGUGGAAAAUUUGGAACUGAGUAACAUGCUCCUACUCGAAGUGUUUUCACCUUCAUUGCAUCUUUGCAGUCAUGUAUUUUUAUGACUCCUGCUUUGAAAUGUCACUCUCUUUUGUGUUUAGGUGUUCCCGAUGUUCCCUUGCUCCGUGUUCAUGUUCUUGACAGUUGUUUCCAUAUUGCCUGGCAGCCUGCAUGAGAAUUUUUAGACCGUAGGUGUCAUUGCAUGCAGAAAAUUCCUUUUGCUUGUUUUUGUGUAAGACAGGAGAGUAGUUUGUUUUUCUGCUUCUCUCAUUGCUAAAAUUCAUAUAUAAUAGAAUCGGGGUUCGGUGAAGUCAAGUCUCAAUGAAUGUUAAUUUGGCCAUGAUUUUCAUUUGGUUACAAGGUCCUUUGAAUCAAUGUGCUAUGUGUUUAUUUCUGCAUUUGUAAUUAGUUUGGAAGCAUAUUUUCAUUGCGGUGAUUGUUUCUUUUACUUUUCUGUCGUUUGUCUUUAACAAUAUCUGCGGAUGCUAAAUAUGUCAUCAGACAACUGUUUCAUUGUUUCUCAAAUAAAGAUGGAUGGUCAAGCUUC